GAGGGUCUGCAGGGCUGGCAGUCUUAUAAAACAGCUUUUUUUAGUCAUGAGCUGAAUGCACUCAAUCUGCUGGGCAGUCGAAACAUGCUGGAAUUCACGUGAGGUUGUGCCAAACACCCCAAGAGCAGAGCACUCCGGCUUUCUCUCCAACACACCUCUCAGCAGAGACGGUGCAGUUAUGUCACAUGAACCACAAAGUCCUGCUGGAGGGAAGAAAUUCUCCACGGCUUCAGGGAGCACAAGAGCAUUGACUUCAGCCUGACCCGAGCUAUUGGUGGCUGUAAUUUCUACCACCCCUUAUUUUAGGAAGAUUUACCAGAGCAUCAUUUCUCUAAGUCACUGUACAGAAGUGACAGCACUUGUAAACAGAUGAUGAUGGAUUACCUGUGGGAAUUACUUCUCCUGCUUGUAGCGCUGUUGAAGGGUAAUAUCUGCCAGGUAGCUGGCAGCUGCAGAAAUCCAGUGAGAGCAGAGGGACUAAAGAAACUAACCUUAAUUCCACUAUUCAUACCCUGCAACAGCUUGACUUUUGGUGUACAGCUGUGGGACUAGUAUAGAAAACAUGCUGUUUGCGUUGCCCAUACAGUGAUAUGUUUAAACGUCACAUCUGCUGAAACGAGAGGCUGGGAUGUGAGAAGGAGAAGAAAAGGGGGACAGCUGUAGCUUUCUCCCACACAGAGGUAUCAGCGCUGCACGCUCACUCUGCUCCCUUCUGCAGCAUGGAUUGUAUCUCCAAAGUUCUCCAGCAAACCCACUCUUCCAAUGCCAUCUACAUUUAGCAUUUCACAAAAACAUCUGUCAAGGUCUGGUUAAAACCAGAACAUGCUGCUUGUCAAGACCCAGUCUAGGAUAUCAAAGGAUCAGGCUGGCAGAGCCAGAACGCUCUCUGGAGAUGGGUACAGGUUUUCA